AUUGAACGCUGGCGGCAGGCCUAACACAUGCAAGUCGGGCGAGCGGUGGACGGGUGAGUAAUGUAUGGGGAUCUGCCUGAUGGAGGGGGAUAACUACUGGAAACGGUAGCUAAUACCGCAUACCAUCAGAUGAACCCAUAUGGGAUUAGCUUGUAGGUGAGGUAACGGCUCACCUGGGCGACGAUCCCUAGCUGGUCUGGGAGGUUGAUCAGCCACACUGGGACUGAGACAAGGCCAAGACUCCUACGGGAGGCAGCAGUGGGGAAUAUUGCACAAGGGGCGCAAGCCUGAUGCAGCCAUGCCGCGUGUAGGAAGAAGGCCUUCGGGUUGUAAAGUACUUUCAGUGGGGAGGCGUUACCGACAGAAGAAGCACCGGCUAACUCCGUGCCAGCCGCCGCGGUAAUUC
rnacentral:rRNA from 1 species